UUUACUUUGGCAGAUUAGUGCAUUAAAUUUAGAAUUUAAAUAUAAAUUUGUUAUUUAGGUAAAA
rnacentral:tRNA from 1 species